UAUGUGAUCGUCUCUCGCAUAUCAAUAAGCGGAGGAAAAGAAACUAACAAGGAUUCCCCUAGUAACGGCGAGUGAAGCGGGAAGAGCUCAAAUUUGAAAUCUUAAAGGGUUUCCCUUUACGAAUUGUAGUUUAAAGAAGUGUUUUCUGUUGAGGUUUUGGUAAAAGUUCUUUGGAAUAGGACAUCAUAGAGGGUGAGAAUCCCGUAUUUGACCUUUACUUUCAACUUUGUGAUACACUUUCAAAGAGUCGGAUUGUUUGGGAAUGCAGUCCAAAAUGGGUGGUAAAUUUCAUCUAAAGCUAAAUAUUGGCGAGAGACCGAUAGCGAACAAGUACCGUGAGGGAAAGAUGAAAAGAACUUUGAAAAGAGAGUUAAACAGUACGUGAAAUUGUCAAAAGGGAAGCGUUUGACACCAGUGUUGUUUUUCUGAAAAUCAAUUAAAGAACUGUUUAUGCUAAGUUGUUUAGACUUUAUCAGCUAACUGUUUAGUUUUGAGCUUUUCUUUAAUGCACUUUUCAGUUAACAAGUCAACAUCAAUUUCUUUUGCUGUAAAAAAGCUUGAGGAAGGUGGCUUGAGAUUCGUCUUAAGUGUUUAUAGCCUCUUGCCUAUGCAGUCGGAGAGAUUGAGGUCUGCAGCGUAGAUCCUUCGGGGCUAGAUACAUUUGUGCUAAGUUAUAGCAUUUUAUAGACAAUUUGUUGACUAUGAUUUGUCUUGUAGCUUACUCGCUUAUGUUAUUUUACCUACGCUUAGGAUGUUGAGUCAUCACACAUCUCU
rnacentral:rRNA from 1 species